CCCAGCUCCUACUCAGGAUGGAGUUGCUCUGGUUCACAUGCCUCUGAGAGAAGCAUGUGUGCCCACUUUGACCAAAUCUGUCAGGGGCACCUGCACCGUCUAGCCCUGCCAGCCACUGGCCUGCUCCCAUGGUGGGUUCCCUCCCAAAGCCCCUGAGCGCUUCCUCUCUUCACCUGCUUCCCACCCACACACGCUCGGUGCUCCAGCCACAGGCACCCCGCCCAGAUUCCUCCCCAUCUCCAUACCUUCAGCCAUGCCUGGCAUGCUGGCACCCUCCUGCCUCCCCCACCCCAACCCAGCCACCUGCAAACUCCUCCAAGCUCCAGCUCAAGCCUUUACUGCCCUAGGAAGCUUGCCCUGGGAGGCUCAGACAGAAAAGACGCAACCAGCUUACUAUUCAGUGAGCCUCUCUCCCUAGCAGGGAAGUGAGGAAGCCCCUGCCACUGAGACCCGACGAUCCUGCCCGGCAGGGCUGCCAGUCUCCAGCGCACUGUGGCACUCAUACUGAGGACAGGGUCAUGCCCCUGGUAAUUAUGACUUCACAUCUAUUUAACCGUGUGCCAGGCACUGUGCUAGGAGCCUUGCUCAACUCAUCCAAUCCUCAGCCUCAGCCUAGAACUCAGACACUCCCGUUAUCCAGGGCACAGAGUAGGCAAAGCCACAAGGCUGCUGCUGCAAAGGAGGAUGGCACGGGCAAACACAGGCUGGGAUGGGUGAAAGGGUCUCUUAAGGAAAUGAGGUGCAGUCGGGCCUGGAAGAGCAGCAGAAUGUGUGUCCGGCCCUGCCACACGCCUGGAUCCCAGAGCAAGAUGGAGCCAGCAGCCACCCCUGUCUGCCACCCUGGCCUUCUCUCCAGGACUCCUGGCUUCCCCCUCGAUUACCCCUGCCUGACACCCUAUGCUAGCAACCAGAGACUGUUUCUGCCUGGCUGCCCCCAGCUCCUUGAACAUGCAGCCUGGGUUCCAGAGGGAGGUCAUACGGCCUGUCAGAGACCACCAGGGAAGCAUCACAGAUCGCAGCCAGCGGGCGAGCUCAGCUGGGGGUUUGCACCAAGCAUGGCUCCAGAGUGAGGCCUGGCUGAUGCAGGCUGGGACCACCCUGCAUGGACCAGCAGUGUGGGUAAGUCCUGGGGCUCAGAGAGGGGCUGAGAAGGCCAAAGGCAAGACGAGGACCCGUUAUCACGGCACAUAGUGUCCCUUGACUUGCUGGGAGAAGCUCACAAUUAGCAAUCCCAUGGCCACGGGAGGCCAGAGUGGGAGCUGGAAGGCUCUGGAUGCCAGAGCUUUGGGUGCCUGGCCCUCCUCGGGCUGGUGUUCGCCUGUAAGUGUUGCUUCGGCUGUUCAAACGCGGAUGCCCAUCCUUGCCCAUUGGUAAACAGCUGCUGCCACCUCCAAGACCCAUGCACCCUGUGUGGCACGUGACCUCCUGCAUCCCCUCUGGGCCUCCCUGUGGGUUUAGGAUGUCACCCCUGCCAGAGCACCUACCUCUCCAGGCCUACAGCUGGGUUCCUCCACAGACACCGUCUCGGGACAGUGCAUUUGUUCUCUGUCUUUGAUCAGAAAUGGCCAUCACAACCACCAUGCUCAGACCUUAGACACCGGCUUCUCUGCGCCUGGGGAUGGUGGAGCCGGGGAGCUGCCGCGGGCCUGAGGGAGGAUGCGAAGCUCCAGGCUGCCCCCUGCUGCCUCCGGAGUGUGCUGCAGUCUUGGCCAAUGUGGACUUGAACACAACCUGCUCCGAUCUUCAGAAAUAUUACCCACGAGACCUGCUUUCUCCCAAAAUGCAUUCGGCUGCCCACCCAUGGGAUGUUACAGAAUAAAGAUAAUAAAGCUAUGCUCCAGAUCAUGUUCCCAAUGCCAAAAAUCUCCCCAACUCCCAGAAUCUAGAGUCUUUGAAAUAUAGACCAUGGAGUAUCUUUUUGAUAAUGGAAGUAAAACUGUUUAUGUAAAAUGCUUUUUCUCUGCAAAUAACAACUCAAGAAGAGACCAGGAACUAUAGUCAGAAGGGAUUCUCGUCCUGGGGGGACAUUUCUUGCCUGCGUGGUCUAGGUGGGUUGUGGUCUUCCAGUUUCUGCCCCUAAAUCCAUAUGUGAUCGGCUCCACCUCACAAGGCUGUCAUAAUACUUCACAAGAGAAAUACAAGAAAGCACGCUUUUAAAGCCGUGUGCACAGCUGCUGGUUUUAAUAUCAUUAUCUUUCAGGGAAUUUUUAACUCGUCUCCCAGAGGCUCGAUUGGAUUGAAAAUGUAAGGUCUAUUUAAUGAAAACUAUCAAGGAAGUUCCUGGGGAAAAACUUAGGAGUCGUCAAGCAUUAGGCAAGCCCCAGCUAUGCAGUUUGAAUAAAGCACAGACUGCAGAAGCCGCACGAGCGAAUCCCAGGCCAGGCCUGUCACUCACUGCCAUGUCCCUGGACAACACACUAAGUCUCUUGAAGCCUCUCUUUUCUUGUCCAUAAAAUGGAAUUCACUGUUCACUGAAUGAGAUGAGGUGAGGACUGGAAAUCAUGCCUGGUGUACAGUGAGGGCUGAAUACAAGGUUCGUUCUUUUCUUUUUUUUCUUUUCUUUUCUUUUCUUUUUUUUUUUUUUUUUUUGAGACAGAGUCUGGCUCUGUCACUCAGGCUGGAGUACACUGGCACGAUCUUGCCAACUUUGCACCUCACCUUUGGUUUCAAGUGAUUCUCCUGCCGCUGCCUGAGCUGGGAUCACAGGCUUAUGCCACCAUGCCUGGCUAAUUUUUGUAUUUUUAGCUAAGACAUGGUUUUGCCUGUGG
ensembl:lincRNA